rnacentral:rRNA from 1 species
GACGAACGCUGGCGGCGUGCUUAACACAUGCAAGUCGAACGGAAAGGCCCCUUUGGGGGUACUCGAGUGGCGAACGGGUGAGUAACACGUGAGUAACCUGCCCUUGACUUCGGGAUAACUUCAGGAAACUGGGGCUAAUACCGGAUAGGAAUCCUUGCUGCAUGGUGGGGGUUGGAAAGCUUCGGCGGUUUUGGAUGGACUCGCGGCUUAUCAGCUUGUUGGUGGGGUAGUGGCUUACCAAGGCUUUGACGGGUAGCCGGCCUGAGAGGGCGACCGGCCACAUUGGGACUGAGAUACGGCCCAGACUCCUACGGGAGGCAGCAGUGGGGGAUAUUGCACAAUGGGCGGAAGCCUGAUGCAGCAACGCCGCGUGCGGGAUGACGGCCUUCGGGUUGUAAACCGCUUUCAGCAGGGGCGAAGCUUGUGGUGACGGUACCUGCAGAAGAAGCACCGGCUAACUACGU